AGGACGAACGCUGGCGGCGCGCCUAAAACAUGCAAGUCGAACGAGAAAUCCGGGCUUGCCCGGGUGGACAGUGGCGAACGGGUGAGUAACACGUGAGGAACCUGCCCCGAAGACCGGGACAACAUCGGGAAACCGUUGCUAAUACCGGAUACCUUCGCUUGAUCGCAUGGUCGAGCGAAGAAAUGGAUUCCGCUUCGGGAUGGCCUCGCGGCCUAUCAGCUUGUUGGUGAGGUAACGGCUCACCAAGGCAACGACGGGUAGCUGGUCUGAGAGGAUGUCCAGCCACACUGGGACUGAGACACGGCCCAGACUCCUACGGGAGGCAGCAGUUAGGAAUCUUGCGCAAUGGGCGAAAGCCUGACGCAGCGACGCCGCGUGCGGGAUGAAUGCCUUCGGGUUGUAAACCGCUUUCAGCAGGGACGAAAUUGACGGUACCUGCAGAAGAAGCCCCGGCAACUACGUGCCAGCAGCCGCGGUAA
rnacentral:rRNA from 1 species